rnacentral:rRNA from 1 species
GAGUACGUGAAACCGUUCAGGGGUAAACCUGAGAAACCCGAAAGGUCGAAAGGGGAGAUUCAGCGUGUCUCGAUUGCGGCGCUGGGCGGUCGUGCGACGGAAGACGUACGCGUCAUCCGCACCUUCCGUCCUCCGAACCGUAGUCGAACGCGUGCACUUCUCCCCCUGUAGGACGUCGCGAUCCGUUGGGUGCCGGCCUAAGGCCCGCAAUGGAGCCCGUUCGGACGGUUUACCGUUCCGGACGAACUUGCGGUGUUUCCCGGUCGGCUCGCUCGACGGUAUACAGAUGGCGCGGGGCCGCUACACAUUAGUUAGCGUCCGACCGGCGGCAAGCGCGCUCGUCGUGACGGUGAUCGGACCUGGUGCCGGUCCUGUCCCCGAGUGGCUGUUCGCUGCCGUGUUCUCGGACAGACCUCGUCGAAACGCCGAUCUGCGACGCUAUAGCUUUGGGUACUUUCAGGACCCGUCUUG